AUUGAACGCUGGCGGCAGGCUUAACACAUGCAAGUCGAGCGGAGAGAGGUAGCUUGCUACUGAUCUUAGCGGCGGACGGGUGCGUAAUGCUUAGGAAUCUGCCUAUUAGUGGGGGACAACAUUUCGAAAGGAAUGCUAAUACCGCAUACGUCCUACGGGAGAAAGCAGGGGAUCUUCGGACCUUGCGCUAAGAGAUGAUCCUAAGUCGGAUUAGCUAGUUGGUGGGGUAAAGGCCUACCAAGGCGACGAUCUGUAGCGGGUCUGAGAGGAUGAUCCGCCACACUGGGACUGAGGCACGGCCCAGACUCCUACGGGAGGCAGCAGUGGGGAAUAUUGGACAAUGGGCGCAAGCCUGAUCCAGCCAUGCCGCGUGUGUGAAGAAGGCCUUAUGGUUGUAAAGCACUUUAAGCGAGGAGGAGGCUACUUUAGUUAAUACCUAGAGAUAGUGGACGUUACUCGCAGAAUAAGCACCGGCUAACUCUGUGCCAGCCGCCGCAGUAACAC
rnacentral:rRNA from 1 species